rnacentral:rRNA from 1 species
UACGUAGGGCGCAAGCGUUGUCCGGAAUUAUUGGGCGUAAAGAGCUCGUAGGCGGCCUGUCGCGUCUGCUGUGAAAUCCCGGGGCUUAACCCCGGGCGUGCAGUGGAUACGGGCUGGCUGGAGGCAGGCAGGGGAGAACGGAAUUCCCGGUGUAGCGGUGAAAUGCGCAGAUAUCGGGAGGAACACCGGUGGCGAAGGCGGUUCUCUGGGCCUUACCUGACACUGAGGAGCGAAAGCGUGGGGAGCGAACAGG